GACGAACGCUGGCGGCGUGCUUAACACAUGCAAGUCGAGCGGUAAGGCCCUUUCGGGGGUACGACGAGCGGCGAACGGGUGAGUAACACGUGGGUGACCUGCCCUCAGCUCUGGGAUAAGCCUGGGAAACCGGGUCUAAUACUGGAUAUGACUCCAUGACGCAUGUUGUGGGGUGGAAAGCCUUGUGCGGCUGAGGAUGGGCCCGCGGCCUAUCAGC
rnacentral:rRNA from 1 species